AAACCAUGGUGUGGACAUUUUUGAAGCAAGUCCUUAUACCUCUCCCAUGCUUCAUACAAUGACUCAAAGUCCAAUUGUGUGAAAGAAAUGAUAUCAUUCCUCAUCUU
rnacentral:snoRNA from 1 species